GUUGUACUCCCUCCGUUCGGAAUUACUUGUCACAAAAAUGGAUGUAUCUACAACUAAAACACAUCUAGAUACAUUCAUUUCUUGGACGAGUAAUUCCGAACGGAGGGAGUAUUUA
rnacentral:pre_miRNA from 1 species